rnacentral:rRNA from 1 species
UAGGGAAUUUUCGUCAAUGGGGGAGCCCUGAACGAGCAAUGCCGCGUGUGUGAAGAAGGUCUUCGGAUCGUAAAGCACUGUUGUAAGUGAAGAAUGCCAUAUAGAGGAAAUGCUAUGUGGGUGACGGUAGCUUACCAGAAAGCCACGGCUAACUACGUGCCAGCAGCCGCGGUAAUACGUAGGUGGCAAGCGUUAUCCGGAAUCAUUGGGCGUAAAGGGUGCGUAGGUGGCACGAUAAGUCUGAAGUAAAAGGCAACAGCUCAACUGUUGUAUGCUUUGGAAACUGUCGAGCUAGAGUGCAGAAGAGGGCGAUGGAAUUCCAUGUGUAGCGGUAAAAUGCGUAGAUAUAUGGAGGAACACCAGUGGCGAAGGCGGUCGCCUGGUCUGUAACUGACACUGAUGCACGAAAGCGUGGGGAGCAAAUAGGAUUAGAUACC